CCUACGGGAGGCAGCAGUGGGGAAUCUUGCGCAAUGGGCGAAAGCCUGACGCAGCAACGCCGCGUGCGGGAAGAAGGCUUUCGGGCUGUAAACCGCUUUCAGCAGGAACGAAAAUGACGGUACCUGCAGAAGAAGGAGCGGCCAACUAUGUGCCAGCAGCCGCGGUGAUACAUAGGCUUCAAGCGUUGUCCGGAUUUAUUGGGCGUAAAGAGUUCGUAGGCGGUCGAGUAAGUCGGGUGUGAAAAUUCUGGGCUCAACCCAGAGACGCCACCCGAUACUGCUUGACUUGAGUUCGAUAGGGGAGUGGGGAAUUCCUAGUGUAGCGGUGAAAUGCGCAGAUAUUAGGAGGAACACCGGUGGCGAAGGCGCCACUCUGGAUCGAUACUGACGCUGAGGAACGAAAGCAUGGGUAGCAAACAGGAUUAGAUACCCUGGUAGUCCAUGCCGUAAACGGUGGGCACUAGGUGUGGGUUUCUAUUAACGAAAUCCGCGCCGUCGCUAACGCAUUAAGUGCCCCGCCUGGGGAGUACGGUCGCAAGACUAAAACNCAAAGGAAUUGACGG
rnacentral:rRNA from 1 species